AUGAACGCUGGCGGCGUGCCUAAUACAUGCAAGUCGAGCGAACAGACGAGGAGCUUGCUCCUCUGACGUUAGCGGCGGACGGGUGAGUAACACGUGGAUAACCUACCUAUAAGACUGGGAUAACUUCGGGAAACCGGAGCUAAUACCGGAUAAUAUAUUGAACCGCAUGGUUCAAUAGUGAAAGACGGUUUUGCUGUCACUUAUAGAUGGAUCCGCGCCGCACUAGCUAGUUGGUAAGGUAACGGCUUACCAAGGCAACGAUGCGUAGCCGACCUGAGAGGGUGAUCGGCCACACUGGAACUGAGACACGGUCCAGACUCCUACGGGAGGCAGCAGUAGGGAAUCUUCCGCAAUGGGCGAAAGCCUGACGGAGCAACGCCGCGUGAGUGAUGAAGGUCUUCGGAUCGUAAAACUCUGUUACUAGGGAAGAACAAAUGUGUAAGUAACUAUGCACGUCUUGACGGUACCUAAUCAGAAAGCCACGGCUAACUACGU
rnacentral:rRNA from 1 species